rnacentral:rRNA from 1 species
UACGUAGGGGGCGAGCGUUGUCCGGAAUUAUUGGGCGUAAAGAGCGUGUAGGCGGUUCGGUAAGUCUGCUGUGAAAUCCUGGGGCUCAACCCUGGGCGUGCGGCGGAUACUGCCGGGCUAGAGGGUGGUAGAGGCGAGUGGAAUUCCGGGUGUAGCGGUGGAAUGCGCAGAUAUUCGGGGGAACACCAGUGGCGAAGGCGGCUCGCUGGGCCACGCCUGACGCUGAUACGCGAAAGCGUGGGGAGCGAACAGG